CUUGGUCAUUUAGAGGAAGUAAAAGUCGUAACAAGGUUCCGUAGGUGAACCUGCGGAAGGAUCAUUACCGUGGGGCUUCGGCCCCAUGAGAUAGCACCCUUUGUUUAUGAGUACCCUUGUUUCCUCGGCGGGCUUCCCGCCAUGAGGACCAUAAAAACCCUUUGCAGUAGCAGUAACUUCAGUUAUAAUAAAUAUUAAAACUUUCAACAACGGAUCUCUUGGUUCUGGCAUCGUGAAGAACGCAGCGAAAUGCGAUAAGUAGUGUGAAUUGCAGAAUUCAGUAAUCAUCGAAUCUUUGAACGCACAUUGCGCCCUUCGGUAUUCCGUUGGGAUGCCUGUUCGAGCGUCAUUUAAACCUUCAAGCUAUGCUUGGUGUUGGGGUUUGUUCCGCCUCAGCGCGUGGACUCGCCUCAAAUUCAUUGGCAGCCGUAUGUUGGCUUCGUGCGCAGCACAUUGCAAGCGAUUUCAGCAGACUCCCUCCAUAAGCCCUUUUUUUACUUUGACCUCGGAUCAGGUAGGGAUACCCGUGAACUUAAGCAUAUCAAUAAGCGGAGGA
rnacentral:rRNA from 1 species